GCUGCGGUAGCUCAGUGUUAGAGCGGAGGAUUGCAGUCAUGAUGAUAUCCUCAGGUCCUGUGUUCGAACCACAGUCGCAGCU
rnacentral:tRNA from 1 species